GAUGAACGCUGGCGGCGUGCUUAACACAUGCAAGUCGAACGAUGAAGCCGGAGCUUGCUCUGGUGAAUUAGUGGCGAACGGGUGAGUAACACGUGAGUAACCUGCCCUUGACUCUGGGAUAACUGCGGGAAACUGUAGCUAAUACCGGAUACGACCCUCGGAGGCAUCUCCUGGGGGUGGAAAGAAUUUCGGUCAAGGAUGGACUCGCGGCCUAUCAGCUAGUUGGUGAGGUAAAGGCUCACCAAGGCGACGACGGGUAGCCGGCCUGAGAGGGUGACCGGCCACACUGGGACUGAGACACGGACCAGACUCCUACGGGAGGCAGCAGUGGGGAAUAUUGCACAAUGGGAGCAAGCCUGAUGCAGCAACGCCGCGUGAGGGAUGACGGCCUUCGGGUUGUAAACCUCUUUUAGCAGGGAAGAAGCGAAAGUGACGGUACCUGCAGAAAAAGCACCGGCUAACUACGUGCCAGCAGCCGCAGUAA
rnacentral:rRNA from 1 species